rnacentral:rRNA from 1 species
GCAGCCGCGGUAACACCGGCGGCCCGAGUGGUGAUCGUGAUUAUUGGGUCUAAAGGGUCCGUAGCCGGUUUGGUCAGUCCUCCGGGAAAUCUGAUAGCUCAACUAUUAGGCUCUCGGGGGAUACUGCCAGACUUGGAACCGGGAGAGGUAGGAGGUACUACAGGGGUAGGAGUGAAAUCUUGUAAUCCCUGUGGGACCACCUGUGGCGAAGGCGUCUUACCAGAACGGGUUCGACGGUGAGGGACGAAAGCUGGGGGCACGAACCGGAUUAGAUACCCGGGUAGUCCCAGCCGUAAACGAUGCUCGCUAGGUGUCAGGCAUGGCGCGACCGUGUCUGGUGCCGCAGGGAAGCCGUGAAGCGAGCCACCUGGGAAGUACGGCCGCAAGGCUGAAACUUAAAGGAAUUGGCGGGGGAGCACAACAACGGGUGGAGCCUGCGGUUUAAUUGGACUCAACGCCGGACAACUCACCGGGGGCGACAGCAAUAUGUAGGCCAAGCUGAAGACUUUGCCUGAAUCGCUGAGAAGAGGUGCAUGG